ACCUACAGCCACACCACCCCGAAUGCACCCAAUCUUGUCAGAUCUUGAAGUUAUGCAGGGUUAGCCUGAGUUAAUACUUAGAUGGGAGAAUAUAAGUUCGAAUUUCCAAGGGGUAAAGAGUU
ensembl:rRNA 5S_rRNA 5S ribosomal RNA